rnacentral:lncRNA from 1 species
UGUGUUUCCACCAACAGCCAUUUUGCAUUGGCAUCACACCAUCCACCAUCAGCGUUGCUGACAGGAGCAGUGUUCAGGAGCCGUGGACAGUGGAUUGCGCUGCUUCAGGAGCCUGGUGACUGGGAGGUUUGCAGGCUGCCAGGGGCCUCAGCUGAAGACCUGGAUCCACAGGACCCACAGAGGAAAAUUUCAAAAAUGUUUCAAAUUCCUGUGGAAAAUCUUGACAACAUCAGAAAGGUGCGAAAAAAGGUGAAAGGUAUUCUUGUGGAUAUUGGGCUUGACAGCUGCAAGGAGUUACUGAAGGUAAGAGGACAUAAGUAGCCAACUGAAAUAUGGAGGUGAGAUUUGAACUGGGGUUUUCGAAAAGUGGGUGAGAUUCCUCAAAAUGGAAAUUGCUAUUAUACUUCAGAUGACUGUGGGAAAGCCUCAUUAGUACUUAUUUAUGUCUUUAUGACAUAAAGUGAGCUAUGUAAGCUGUUCAGGUUUUUAAGCUACUUUAAGGAGGGGAUUUUUCUAGUCAUUAGUUAUUAAAAAAUUGUUUUUGAUGUUUGAGAGAAAUGUGAUUUAUUUUUUAUUUUAGCAAAAGAAAACUAACUUAAUUUCCCAGUAUUGUUAGAG